rnacentral:rRNA from 1 species
CCUACGGGAGGCAGCAGUGAGGAAUAUUGGUCAAUGGGCGAGAGCCUGAACCAGCCAAGUCGCGUGAAGGAUGACGGCCCUACGGGUUGUAAACUUCUUGUGUCAGGGAGCAAGUGAGUCCGCGUGUGGGCUUAGCGAGAGUACCUGAAGAAAAAGCAUCGGCAAACUCCGUGCCAGCAGCCGCGGUAAUACGGAGGAUGCGAGCGUUAUUCGGAUUUAUUGGGUUAAAAGGGUGCGUAGGCGGAAUAUCAAGUCAGCGGUAAAUAGUCGGGGCUCAACCCCGUCGUGCCGUUGAAACUGGUGUGCUUGAGUGGGCGAGAAGUAUGCGGAAUGCGUGGUGUAGCGGUGAAAGGCAUAGAGAUCACGCAGAACUCCGAUUGCGAAGGCAGCAUACCGGCGCCCAACUGACGCUGAGGCACGAAAGCGUGGGUAUCGAACAGGAUUAGAUACCCUUGUAGUC